rnacentral:misc_RNA from 1 species
CUGAGUGAGGGCCUUCGGGCUCGACCUCCAACCCUUUGUGAACACCAACUUGUUGCUUCGGGGGCGACCCUGCCGUUUCGACGGCGAGCGCCCCGGAGACCAUCAAACACUGCAUCUUUGCGUCGGAGUUUAAGUAAAUUAAACA